AUUGAACGCUGGCGGCAUGCCUUACACAUGCAAGUCGAACGGCAGCGCGGGAGCAAUCCUGGCGGCGAGUGGCGAACGGGUGAGUAAUAUAUCGGAACGUGCCCAGUAGUGGGGGAUAGCCCGGCGAAAGCCGGAUUAAUACCGCAUGAGACCUGAGGGUGAAAGCGGGGGAGUCGCAAGACCUCGCGCUAUUGGAGCGGCCGAUAUCAGAUUAGCUAGUUGGUGGGGUAAAGGCCUACCAAGGCAACGAUCUGUAGUUGGUCUGAGAGGACGACCAGCCACACUGGGACUGAGACACGGCCCAGACUCCUACGGGAGGCAGCAGUGGGGAAUAUUGGACAAUGGGGGAAACCCGUGAUGCAGCAACGCCGCGUGAGUGAAGAAGGCCUUUGGGUUGUAAAGCUCUUUCGGCCGGGAAAAAGGGUUUUUACGUUAAUAGCGUAGAGAUUUGAUGGUACCGGAAGAAGAAGCACCUGCUAACUACGUGCCAGCAGCCGCGGU
rnacentral:rRNA from 1 species